GCAGUGCGAGUUCAGCCCGCUUUCUUCGCGCUCCGCGUCAAAUCUCUCCAGCUCUGUUCUCGCAUCCCGGGUUUAGAUCCCGCAGAGUUAAGUAUCCCGCGUGUGAAGGGAUGAACUGAGACUCCCAGAGGGCAUAACUGAUGGAGGCACGAAGAUGUCUGCUCUUCAGCUUUGCCAAGAGCUCGGCAAGUUUUUCUUUGUUUUUUGAUACAAACUGAAAGAUGCCUUUGGUUAUAUCUACCCACUGAAAACAAGAUGCCAUCUCUGGAUUACACAGGGAUUCGUGAAGGCUGACAUUUGUCUAUUUGUUAAAAAAUGUACAUGUCAUAUACACCAUGGAAUACUAUGCAGCCAUAAAAAGGAAUGAGAUCAUGUCCUUUGCAGGGACAUGGAUGAAGCUGGAAACCAUCAUCCUCAGCAAACACAGGAACAGAAAACCAAAAACUGCAUGUUCUCACUUAUAGGUGGGAGUUGAAUGAUGAGAAUACAUGGACACAGGGAGGGGAACAUCACACACCAGGGCCUGUUGCAGGGUCGGGGAGAGGGGAGGGAGAGCAUUAGGACAAAUAGCUAAUGUAUGCAGGGCUUAAAACCUUGAUGAUGGGUUGAUAGGUGUGGCAAACCCACCAUGGCACACGUAUACCUAUGUAACAAACCUGCAUGUUGUGCACUUUUAUCCUAGAA
rnacentral:lncRNA from 1 species